GCAUUUAGCUAAACUACUGCCAAGGAAGGUAAAAAGUUUCACAUAGUGCCCCACGCCUGAGCAAAUUGUGGCUUUGAACCAUUGCCUAGCCUCUGCCUGUAGGCUUCAGGCACUGAAGCAGGCUACACAGUG